UGGCAGGCAUGCAGGAAUCCGACGUUUGUUGACAGGGUCCGAUGCAUUCUGGUUCUGGGCCGCUCAUUUUUCUUGCUAUGCCGGCCCAGAAGCCCAAAAAAACCCACCGUUCCUCGCCCGCGCCGCCUCCGCGAAUUAGGGUUUUUCCAGGUACAGACAAAACCCAGCCGUCGAUGCGCGGGCUUUCGCAUCCGAACCCUCCGUGCCCAUCCGAGUCCCGCCGCGAUAAAUGAUGAACGAGAAGGGGUCGCUCCCCCGACCAGCAGCAGCUCUUUAACCCUAAUACGUCCCCCUCUCUCUCUCUCUCUCUCUCUCUCUCGGGUUUUCUUCCCCCCACCCCAACGCACACACAACUGCACCUAGACUAUUCAUCGAGAGUGUUAGCUCGGUUUCUUUCGAGAAGAAUCUCGAUCUCGAGCAGCCGAGGCCGGGAUUGACCUGAUCUGAUAGCUGGGUCAUCAGCUAUGUCGUCGACGAGCUCCUCGUCGAAGGCCUCGCUAACAACUGCACAGGCGAGGGAUGAUAUAGUCGAGCAAUUGAAGGAUGCGGCGAAAAAUUCAUUCAAGAGUUAAUGAGGCCAUCUGAUGCUGUGAUUCAUGCGUCUGGUCAGAGGAUCGACAUAGUGUAUGGCUGAAAUGGGCGAACUUAGGCUUGUGGUGUGGAAAUCUAUUUGAUGUCUACCGGCCAAGUUUUCGCUGAUAGUUGUUGCUGCAGUUAUCGGAGUCAUUGCAAAAACAUGACUGCAUCUCUGCCGGCCCAUUUUUGUUGAUAGUGGUGAUAGUGUCGAUACUGACUGGCUUGUUUUUCUGGCCCGAAGACUUGCGUAUUAGGCGAGUUGUGCAAUUUUGCAAUUUUCUCCUCGAUUUUAUUAUCCAUCGGCAUAAAAGCCAUCAUCGUCAUUUAUGUUUAAACGUUCAAAAUUGUUGGAUUGUUGUGAGGAAAAUGAAUGCCUGCAAUCUUUUAUCUUGGAUGUCCAAGAAAAUUUUGAAA